rnacentral:rRNA from 1 species
GAUCCUGGCUCAGGAUGAACGCUAGCGGCAGGCCUAAUACAUGCAAGUCGGACGGGAUCCAUCGGAGAGCUUGCUCGAGGAUGGUGAGAGUGGCGCACGGGUGCGUAACGCGUGAGCAACCUACCUCUAUCAGGGGGAUAGCCUCUCGAAAGAGAGAUUAACACCGCAUAACAUCAACAGUUCGCAUGUUCGGUUGAUUAAAAUAUUUAUAGGAUAGAGAUGGG